UCCAGAUCCAAUUGGCUUUAAAGACGGUGAUAAAAAUCAACUUUUAAUUAGUGUGAAAAUAUCCAUUGUUCCUGGUGGAUGAAGAUGCGGCUCUUACAAAUAAUAACUAUUCUUGGAAUAUCUUUAUUGGUCGCCGCUAAAGGAAGGCAAAAGUGGCACCAUUUGCAUAAAGGCAUUCCUUAUCCCAUAUUAGGACCGACCAUUUAAAAUCAAACAUUGCAAUAAAGAUUCUUCGUAAUGUAAACUACGUUGAGAAUCUUAAAAAUG